AACAAGGUGAUCUUGGAGUUGUCAGCAUGGAUUCACUGAAGGGAAAUCAUGUUUGACCAACCCAAUUGCCUUCUAUGAUGAGACAA